UACGGGGGGUGCGAGCGUUGUCCGGAUUCAUUGGGCGUAAAGAGCGUGUAGGCGGCCAGGUAGGUCGGUUGUGAAAACUGGAGGCUCAACCUUCAGAGGUCGACCGAAACCAUCUGGCUAGAGUCCGGGAGAGGAGAGUGGAAUUCCUGGUGUAGCGGUGAAAUGCGCAGAUAUCAGGAAGAACACCCGUGGCGAAAGCGGCUCUCUGGAACGGUACUGACGCUGAGACGCGAAAGCGUGGGGAGCGAACAGG
rnacentral:rRNA from 1 species